ACUCCUACGGGAGGCAGCAGUAGGGAAUCUUAGACAAUGGGCGCAAGCCUGAUCUAGCGAUGCCGCGUGUGUGACGAAGGCCUUAGGGUCGUAAAGCACUUUCGCCAGGGAUGAUAAUGACAGUACCUGGUAAAGAAGUCCCGGCUAACUCCGUGCCAGCAGCCGCGGUAAUACGGAGGGGACUAGCGUUGUUCGGAAUUACUGGGGCGUAAAGCGCGCGUAGGCGGAUUAGUUAGUCAGAGGUGAAAUCCCAGGGGCUCAACCCUGGAACUGCCUUUGAUACUGCUAGUCUUGAGUUCGAGAGAGGUGAGUGGAAUUCCGAGUGUAGAGGUGAAAUUCGUAGAUAUUCGGAGGAACACCAGUGGCGAAGGCGGCUCACUGGCUCGAUACUGACGCUGAGGUGCGAAAGUGUGGGGAGCAAACAGGAUUAGAUACCCUGGUAGGAUAGCG
rnacentral:rRNA from 1 species